AGAGUUUGAUCCUGGCUCAGAGCGAACGCUGGCGGCAGGCCUAAUACACGCAAGUCGAACGGCUCUUCGGAGCAGUGGCGGACGGGUGAGUAACGCGUGGGAACGUGCCCUUUGGUUCGGAACAACACAGGGAAGCUUGUGCUAAUACCGAAUGUGCCCUUCGGGGGAAAGAUUUAUCGCCAUUGGAGCGGCCCGCGUUGGAUUAGCUAGUUGGUGGGGUAAAGGCCCACCAAGGCUACGAUCCAUAGCUGGUCUGAGAGGAUGAUCAGCCACACUGGGACUGAGACACGGCCCAGACUCCUACGGGAGGCAGCAGUAGGGAAUCUUGCGCAAUGGGCGAAAGCCUGACGCAGCCAUGCCGCGUGAAUGAUGAAGGUCUUAGGAUUGUAAAAUUCUUUCACCGGGGAAGAUAAUGACGGUACCCGGAGAAGAAGCCCCGGCUAACUUCGUGCCAGCAGCCGCGGUAAUACGAAGGGGGCUAGCGUUGCUCGGAAUUACUGGGCGUAAAGGGCGCGUAGGCGGACAUUUAAGUCAGAGGUGAAAGCCCAGGGCUCAACCUUGGAAUUGCCUUUGAUACUGGAUGUCUUGAGUUCGGGAGAGGUGAGUGGAAUGCCGAGUGUAGAGGUGAAAUUCGUAGAUAUUCGGCGGAACACCAGUGGCGAAGGCGACUCACUGGCCCGAUACUGACGCUGAGGCGCGAAAGCGUGGGGAGCAAACAGGAUUAGAUACCCCGGUAGUCC
rnacentral:rRNA from 1 species